UUUCCUUUUUUUCUUCCUUAAAUAUCCAAGAAAAGAAAACUAUGCAGAAAGCUAAAAUUACGAAGGAAAAUAAAUAAAAGAAUAACAAGAGAAAUAGAUCGAGAAAAGAAUGAAAGAAUAAAAGAAUGAAAGAUGAGAAGCAAUAGCAGUAAAUUCUGGUAAAAGAAUUUACAGUAAUACAUUAUUAGUUUUUGACCUAAGCUGUCAAUAAACAUUUAACUGAUUUAUACUUAGAUACAAACUUAACUACUUAUAGGAUGCAGGCAUGGCUAAGAACUGGUUAAGUAGUUUGCAAUGUAAACAUGCAGAUAUGUGUUUGAUUCCAAUGCAUGACACUUCACCUUGGGCAAGUGUUUUCUGCCAUAACCUCAAGCUGACUCAAGCUUUGCGAGGAGUGGUGAAUGUGUUGAUGGCAAAUGUUUACAAGGAACAAUUACAGUGCAGAGGACACAUGUUAAGUUUUAACACAUGGUCUGAGAGCAAACCACUUUCCAGGCAAGUACAUCUCUGAAAUAUAUGGAAGCCUGACAGAUAGAAUGCAACUGUUCUUGAGUAGACGUUUUUCACCCUCCUCUGGUCAUAAAGAGCUUUUAGCAAAAUCUACACCAUUGUAGGCAUUCAAACAUAUUCUCUGGUGGAAAGAUGACCCAUGAAUUAAGAUUUCUUCUUCCACUUCCUUGACCAGAGACGGAAGCCCAGCAAACAAAGGAACAGCUUUAUGUAUUGGUGAACAGUCAACAGCAUUGAAGAGCAUAAGGAUUAAAUUUGUAGAUGAGAAAAAGUUAGCUAACACAGUGGGGACUGGAAACCAUCUGAACAUUGGAAAAGAGUUAUCAAAAUUCUGACAUCAUGACCGCUGCUCAAAGCUCUGUGAAUGCUGCAAAGGCUGCGAGAUGUGACAUGGACAGCUGCAACAGAGACUAUGAAGCAGUGGAAAGCAGGAAGGGACACAGCAGGUGUUCUGGUUGUGUCUGCAUGCUGGAAUUCAACCAACGACUGAUGAACAGGGCCUUAAGCCAACCUCAAACAGCUAUGUGAAGCAGCUGAAAACUGUAGUGAAACCCUGUCUGGAAAGAGUUGGAAGACCAUAUGUACGGCAGUAGGAUUCAGCUCUUUGCCAUAACUCUGUAAAAAGUCAGAAGUGGUCGUCAGGGGACUUCUAUGACUACACCAUUUUCCGGCCUCCUAAUUCCCCUGAUUGUAAUCCCAUGGUUUAUGAUGUGGUGGGUAUGGUUGAGAAAGACAUCAACCAUUCUGCCUUCAACACCAAAGCUGAGCUGGUGGCCAAGAUGAAAGGGGUGUUUGUAGAUCAUCCCAAGGAUACAGUGAAGAAUGCAUGUGCAAAGGUUCUGGAAUUGGUGGAAGCUGGAAGUGACAUCUUUGAGUAAAUUGUUAUCUCCCAGUCAUAAUCUAGUUGAUAUUUUUUGAUUUAAAAAAAACAAAAAAACUUUCAUUUUUGGAUGGGAUAUUAUGUUUUCUUUACCUUUUAGGCAGACUGUCAUAUUUAGCCUGAACACUCUGGAUAUGCAUAUACAUACAUACAGAAAUGAUUUGCAUGUGUAUGUGUGUGUGUGUGUGUGUCUGUAUAUAUAUAUACA